rnacentral:rRNA from 1 species
GGCCCGCCAUAGGAGGUAACAGCCCUGUAGUCAAAACUUCGUUCUCUCCAGAGUGGAUCCUGACUACGGCGGAACACGUGAAAUUCCGUCGGAACCCGGGAGGACCAUCCCCAAAGGCUAAAUACUCCCCAGUGACCGAUAGUGAACCAGUACCGUGAGGGAAAGGUGAAAAGCACCCCGGAAGGGGAGUGAAAGAGAUCCUGAAACCGUGUGCCUACAAGUAGUCAGAGCCCGUUAACGGGUGAUGGCGUGCCUUUUGUAGAAUGAACCGGCGAGUUACGAUC